rnacentral:rRNA from 1 species
UACGAAGGGGGCUAGCGUUGCUCGGAAUCACUGGGCGUAAAGGGUGCGUAGGCGGGUUUUAAGUCAGAGGUGAAAUCCUGGAGCUCAACUCCAGAACUGCCUUUGAUACUGAGGAUCUUGAGUUCGGGAGAGGUGAGUGGAACUGCGAGUGUAGAGGUGAAAAUUCGUAGAUAUUCGCAAGAACACCAGUGGCGGAAGGCGGACUCGACUGGCCCGAGUACCUGACGCUGA